rnacentral:rRNA from 1 species
UACGUAGGUGACAAGCGUUGUCCGGAUUUACUGGGCGUAAAGGGCGCGUAGGCGGCCAGCGCAAGUCAGUUGUGAAAUCUCCGGGCUUAACUCGGAAAGGUCAACUGAUACUGCGCGGCUAGAGUGCAGAAGGGGGCAACUGGAAUUCUCGGUGUAGCGGUGAAAUGCGUAGAUAUCGAGAGGAACACCUGCGGCGAAGGCGGGUUGCUGGGCUGACACUGACGCUGAUGCGCGAAAGCCAGGGGAGCGAACGGG